CCGAACCAUAUCAAAACCUACGACUCUCUCUCUCUCUUUCUCACUCAACCGGCGCCGGAGAUAUUUCCCGAUUACACUAAUCGAGUCAAGCAGAGGUGUUUUUGGAUGGAAAGACGCGUCGCAAACGCCUUCCCUGGACCUGGUCCUCCACCAACACAAGUUCCCUAUUAUCAUAACAACAACAACAACUACAACCCUCAUCAGAUUCAUCCGUCGCACCACCAUGUCUCCGCCGUUGGAUUCCACCAAUACCCACAAAACGACAAUAGAGAUCAGCGUUUCAAUCAGCCGCAUUUUGAUAAUCAACAGCAACCCAAUAUGAUCGUUGACGCUCCGCCGCUUCCACCGAGUGGUGAGUUUAGUCCUUGCGGCGGCGGAAGCAGCUUGAGGAAGAGACGCUCUCUAUCCUCCUCCACCACCCCAGAUCCUAGUGCUGCUGCUGAUGGUUGUAUUGCCAAGUUAUAUGUUGCGCCUCUUCCAAAGACAGCUAAGGAAGACGAUGUCCGUCAGGUGUUUGAAAAGUAUGGUAAUGUCACUGAGAUCAUCCUACCCAGAGAUAAGAUGAGCGGUGAACGAGCAGCUUACUGUUUUGUCAAGUACAGAAAGCUAGAAGAGGGUAAUGCCGCUAUUGCAGCUUUAACAGAUCAGUAUACCUUUCCUGGGGAAAUGUCUCCAGUUCAGGUUAGGUAUGCCGGCGCUGAACGUGAACGGAUUGGUGUUUCAACAGUGCAAAUUCCUGAUAAGUUAUAUGUUAGAUGCCUUAACAAACAAACAACAAAAACGGACGUCCAUGAGGUAUUUUGUAGGUUCGGAGUCAUUGAAGAUAUUUAUAUGGCAGUCGACGACAUGAAGGUUAGCCGUGGGUUUGCAUUUGUUCAGUUUUCUCGUAAGGAGAUGGCACUAGCAGCAAUCAAAGGGUUAAAUGGAGUAUUUACCAUGCGGGGUUCUGAUCAGCCUCUGAUUGUUAGAUUUGCAGACCCUAAAAGACCUCGUCUAGGGGAACCAAGGUCUAACUUUAAUGCUUCGCCUGCAAUGCAACAAUUCGAUCCAAAUUGGCACCCACAACCAUAUCCCCAGUGGGGAAACAAAGAACCUGCAGCCCCAAGAGUUGUUGAUUUCGCUUCACAGCCUAAUCACUUCCCGCAGCAAAAUGCUCAAGCAGUAUCCGCGUUUCAAACACCGAUGCAUCAAGAUUUUGAGAAGCAUCAGACUGCCAGCGUGGAGACUAGAAGCGAUGGUCAGAAGAUUUCUAGUCGUUCAAAUGCCAUUCAUGAAGAUCAAAAUACAGAAGAAUGUGACUGGAGUGAACACACUUGUCCUGAUGGGAACAAGUAUUAUUUCCAUUGUGUCACUUUUGAAAGCACGUGGGAGAAACCAGAGGAGUACUCCAUGUUUGAGAGAUGGUUCGACGAGCAAAUAAGGCUACAAGAUCAAAAUAUUGCCAAGAGCCAAGAUGCAAUCAAAAACACCCAGCAAGAUGGGUCUACUCUACUCCAACAACAAUCCUUAUCCACAGCGGAUGAGGAGAACAUUUCCGUAUAUCCGGUAACAAGAGUGGCUGCUGAAUCAACCUGUUCAUAACAGUUGAGUCUCUUUACUAAAAGGAAGCUAAUAUUACAUCUCACAAGAUCUUCUUAUAUUAUCCUGCUAUUUCAAUACAGGACAAGUCACCAGACAAGUAUUUUGGAAAGGAGAAUGAAAAAAAGAGUAGUCCUGAGGUAAAAAGAAGUUGAUUUCUUCAAGACUCUGAACAUUUGGUACAUAUUUGCUGGAAUCCAAUUGAAAAGGUGUUAUGAAAGUUGGUUCGAAACCUCUGCAGCUUAUAGUCUCGCGCAUUUGUUUCUGAGCAACAAGACACUCUAGUGAUGUCCACCACACCUUUUUAAUAAAAGAAAAACGCUUUCUUGGUCAUUUGAUAUAAACCCACCACACAUAUCUUGGUUGGUUUUAAUUACACAAUAUGUUUAAAAAAAUAUUUACGAUAGCAAGAAAAAGUCGACAACUGAAAGUUAACUAAAAGUUGGAGUUUAUUUGGUAAAUAAAACCUAUAAUUUCACCUGAUCCGAACCAAAAACUAAAAAUCCAUUUUUCAAUUCAAAGUGCCUCUGGGCGAAAGAGAGGGUUCAUCAUCGUCAAUAAUUACGUUCUCUUUAAAAGGCCCAAAUAGAUUUGCAGACCAAAGAAAGAAGAAGCCACUCUCUCUUUGCAGAAACAAACAUCAACUUUACUCCUGAAUUCUCCAGAAGAAGAAGAGAAGGUGGUGGUUAGGAUCUAAAA